UACGAACCGUACGAACGUUAUUCGGAUUCACUGGGCUUAAAGCGUGCGUAGGCGGCUGGGAAAGUUGGGUGUGAAAGCCCUCGGCUCAACCGAGGAAUUGCGCCCAAAACUACCUGGCUUGAGGAAGAUAGAGGUAAGCGGAACUAAUGGUGGAGCGGUGAAAUGCGUUGAUAUCAUUAGGAACACCUGUGGCGAAAGCAGCUUACUGGGUCUUAUCUGACGCUGAGGCACGAAAGCUAGGGGAGCGAACGGG
rnacentral:rRNA from 1 species